GACGAACGCUGGCGGCGUGCUUAACACAUGCAAGUCGAACGGAAAGGCCCUGCUUUUGUGGGGUUCUCGAUUGGCGAACGGGUGAGUAACACGUGUGUAACCUGCCCUUGACUUUGUGAUAACUUCAGGAAACUGGGGCUCAUACCGGAUAGGAGCUCCUGCUGCAUGGUGGGGGUUGGAAAGUUUCGGCGGUUGGGGAUGGACUCGCGGCUUAUGAGCUUGUUGGUGGGGUAGUGGCUUACCAAGCCUUUGACGGGUAGCCGGCCUGAGAGGGGGAACGGGCACAUUGGGACUGAGGUACGGACCAGAAGCCUACGGGAGGCAGCAGGGGGGAGUAUUGCAGAAUGGGCGGAAGCCUGAUGCAGCAACGCCGCGUGCGGGAUGACGGCCUUCGAGUUAUAAACAGAUUUCGAAUGUGACGAAGCGUGAGUGACGGUAAUGGGUAAAGAAGCAACGGCUAACUACGUG
rnacentral:rRNA from 1 species